CUUCAGUUGGUGAGUGUGGAGCGCAGUGGCCGGGGUGUGGUGGCUGCGCUGCAAUGAUGCAUCAAGCGAAUUCUUCCCUUGCUGGUAACUACAAAACAGACUUGGGGAAGUUGGAGGCAUGAUGUUGCUUGCCAAGGAUUUAAUGGAGGCAGUUGGAAGCCCCAUGGAAGGAAGUUUCUCUGGCCCUGGAAGGUGAAUCCUAAUGAUGAAAGGCAAAGUUAAACAGAUCAGUU
rnacentral:lncRNA from 1 species